rnacentral:rRNA from 1 species
AACGAACGCUGGCGGCAUGCCUAACACAUGCAAGUCGAACGAGACCUUCGGGUCUAGUGGCGCACGGGUGCGUAACGCGUGGGAACCUGCCUUUAGGUUCGGAAUAACUCAGAGAAAUUUGAGCUAAUACCGGAUAAAUGUCUUCGGACCAAAGAUUUAUCGCCUUUAGAUGGGCCCGCGUUGGAUUAGCUAGUUGGUGGGGUAAAGGCCUACCAAGGCGACGAUCCAUAGCUGGUCUGAGAGGAUGAUCAGCCACACUGGGACUGAGACACGGCCCAGACUCCUACGGAGGCAGCAGUGGGAAUAUUGGACAAUGGGCGAAAGACCUGAUCCAGCAAUGCCGCGUGAGUGAUGAAGGCCUUA